AUCCGCUCGGCAUCCGGUCUGUCUCUCUGCGGUCUGCUACCAUGCGGUGUUUUGUGGAAUAUGCUAGUUGUGGUGAAGUAGGUGCUGAACCAACCUGAUGGAGGAGCUGUAAGACAACUCCACCCCCACCAUGCUUCCCCUCUGGGACUACAGGCGGACCUUGUAGAGCGCCCUCUGCUGACGGUCCUGCUGCUGCUUCCUGCAGACAGAAGCAGCAUGGAGAGCAGCUGGGCAGCAGUUGCAGCUAGAGCACAGUGUGGCAGGUGGGUCAGGUGAAAGGAGGCAGACUGCAGGAGGAUGCAUCCGGACCGUCUUUACUCAACCUGAACCACCGUCUCACUUUACUGCCGUCAGGACAGUCACUAUGUCCUAGUUAUGAGCGAUCAUUUAUUUUACUGAUGUUUUUACUUCAGACAUGACUUGCUGUUGAGACUGUAUGUUUCAAGCUGAAAUGGAUCAAACCAAUAAAAAAAACUUGAACUGAA